rnacentral:rRNA from 1 species
UAAGGCGAAACCGCGAAUGGCUCAUUAAAUCAGUUAUGGUUCCUUAGAUUGUUUCUUCCUACUUGGAUAACUGUGGCAAUUCUAGAGCUAAUACAUGCAGUGAGCCCUUGUGUCCUUUUUGGCCAGCGGGUGCUUUUAUUAGACCAAGAUCGAUCGGGCUUCGGCCCGCAUUGUGUGGUGACUCUGGAUAACUUUGUGCUGAUCGCAUGGCCACGAGCCGGCGACGUUUCUUUCAAGUGUCUGCCUUAUCAACUUUCGAUGGUAGGUUACUUGCUUACCAUGGUUGUUACGGGUAACGGAGAAUCAGGGUUCGAUUCCGGAGAGGGAGCCUGAGAAACGGCUACCACAUCCAAGGAAGGCAGCAGGCGCGCAAAUUACCCACUCCCGGCACGGGGAGGUAGUGACGAAAAAUAACAAUACGGGACUCUUUUGAGGCCCCGUAAUUGAAAUGAGUACACUCUAAAUCCUUUAACGAGGAUCAAUUGGAGGGCAAGUCUGGUGCCAGCAGCCGCGGUAAUUCCAGCUCCAAUAGCGUAUACUAAAGCUGCUGCGGUUAAAAAGCUCGUAGUUGGAUCUCAGUUCCAGACGAGUAGUGCAUCUACCCGAUGCGACGGCUCGGACUGAACAUCAUGCCGGUCGUUUCUUGGUGCACUUCAUUGUGUGCCUCGAGAUGGCCGGUGCUUUUACUUUGAAAAAAUUAGAGUGCUCAACGCAGGCGAGUCGCCUGAAUAUUCCUUGCAUGGAAUAAUAGAACAAGACCUCGUUUCUGUUCUGUUGGUUUUUGGAAUACGAGGUAAUGAUUAAGAGGGACAGACGGGGGCAUUCGUAUUGCGGCGCUAGAGGUGAAAUUCUUGGACCGUCGCAAGACGAACUACUGCGAAAGCAUUUGCCAAGAAUGUUUUCUUUGAUCAAGAACGAAAGUUAGAGGUUCGAAGGCGAUCAGAUACCG